GAGGCCUUCUCCAGACAAUAUUUAUUGCAAGCUAUAUGAUAUUUGCUCCAAUAUUUGGCUAUAUUUGUGAAAGAUACAGUUGCAAGCUCAUUAUGAUCUAUUGCCUCGUUAUCUGGUCCUUAACAACAUUUCUUAGCACACUACUUAAUAAACACCUAUGUAAGCUUUUACUGAUUUCAUACAGUGAGUUAGAAGUCAGAUAUGUUAAAAACAGAAGGAAAAUGGUAGGUUAAUGAAUAGUUUGGUAUGUUCUUGGUUCAAAAGUAUCUUCCGCAUUUAGUGGUUGCAAUAAUUUUAUAAUAGAGAAAACACAGGGUAUGUAAACAUGUGAAAUAAACAUGUUAUUACUUGAUGUGUUUCAGGUAACUCCAAUCUUGGGUGUGCUUCUUAUCAUCUUGGGCUUUAUAUCUGUUGUUUGAACCUGUCUAGGGGCAAAUUGAAAAGAGUCAGGGUGAUAUUGUUGCAGACAAGGAUGUUAUCAUUCGUCGUUCAUGGUUGAAUGAUGCGAAACAUAUGUUACGCUGGUUUCCUGCUGUAGUAACGCUGAAUCAAUAAGAGAUGAUCCAGUAUGCCAUUCCUUGUUAUUCCCUUGAUCCUAGCUUCAAAAUAUAUUGUUCUUUCUUAUAUACAGAAAGAGCCACAGCAUCGGCAGUCCUUAUAUUGCGGGUUUGCUUGUGGGUUUGUCAGGCACUUAGAGUGCCGGGUCAGUAAAGAAAUGACUGAAUAGCUAUGGAAAGAUAACAGAGGGUGUUUUGAG